CAAAAUCUGAAAACAUCCAAAAUUCAACACACUUUUGGUCCCAAGUGUUUUGGAUAGGGAUACUCAACCUACAGUAAUAUGUAAGAAG